rnacentral:lncRNA from 1 species
GGCCAAUGUCAAUAUUUGCUACAGUGUAAGGGUCAUUUUUGGGUAUUUCCUCCCAAUAUAUGAAGAUGUAGGCCCAAGGAAGAAAAUAGAGAGGCAAAGAGUGCCUUUGCUAGUGUAAUCAAUGAUGUAAUAUAGUCUCAUAAAUCUUUAUAAAUAGAGACAUUACCAUAGAAGAAAAUCAUCUCAUCUUAUCUUAAAUUCUCGAGUUGUAAGCAAUAGCCCAUUCUCAAUUUCAAAAAUCAGUUUUUCUGAAAAUCCUUUUAUACCAAAUAGAAGCUUUGUAUCAAUCCUAAUAGAAAUAAAAUUCCAAUAUUUUGAUAUCAAUAUGAAUUUCUAAAUCUUUUUCCCAUAGAUUCUUGAAAGAUCUAAUAGAAAGUUUCCUUCUUAUUUUAACAAAAAGAGAGUUUUCUUUAUCAGAAGUCUAGAAUUUUAUUCUUUAAAAGUUGAUAUAGUGCAAGCAACUAGCUAAAAUAAUAACAAUUCCGUGAAGGUAGGAGACCGUUGAAGGAAGCAGUUUACAAAUUCAGAGCUCAAAGGUCAUUU